rnacentral:rRNA from 1 species
CCUACGGGGGGCUGCAGUGGGGAAUAUUGGACAAUGGGCGAAAGCCUGAUCCAGCCAUGCCGCGUGUGUGAAGAAGGCCUUCGGGUUGUAAAGCACUUUCAGUGGGGAAGAAAGCCUUGGGGCUAAUACCCUCGAGGAAGGACAUCACCCACAGAAGAAGCACCGGCUAACUCCGUGCCAGCAGCCGCGGUAAUACGGAGGGUGCGAGCGUUAAUCGGAAUUACUGGGCGUAAAGCGCGCGUAGGCGGUCUGAUAAGCCGGUUGUGAAAGCCCGGGGCUCAACCUGGGAACGGCAUCCGGAGCUGUCAGGCUAGAGUGCAGGAGAGGAAGGUAGAAUUCCCGGUGUAGCGGUGAAAUGCGUAGAGAUCGGGAGGAAUACCAGUGGCGAAGGCGGCCUUCUGGACUGACACUGACGCUGAGGUGCGAAAGCGUGGGUAGCAAACGGGAUUAGAUACCCAGUAGUC